rnacentral:rRNA from 1 species
UCCAUGGAUUAACCCCUGAACACACCCAUUCUCAUCUGAUAUCAGAAGCUAAGCUGGGUUGGGCCUGGUUAGUCUUUGGAUGGGAAACAAAUGAGUAUUUAUGGCU